AGAGUUUGAUCAUGGCUCAGAUUGAACGCUGGCGGCAUGCCUUACACAUGCAAGUCGAACGGUAACAGGUCUUCGGAUGCUGACGAGUGGCGAACGGGUGAGUAAUACAUCGGAGCGUGCCCGAUCGUGGGGGAUAACGAAGCGAAAGCUUUGCUAAUACCGCAUACGAUCUACGGAUGAAAGCAGGGGACCGCAAGGCCUUGCGCGAACGGAGCGGCCGAUGGCAGAUUAGGUAGUUGGUGGGAUAAAAGCUUACCAAGCCGACGAUCUGUAGCUGGUCUGAGAGGACGACCAGCCACACUGGGACUGAGACACGGCCCAGACUCCUACGGGAGGCAGCAGUGGGGAAUUUUGGACAAUGGGCGAAAGCCUGAUCCAGCCAUGCCGCGUGCAGGAUGAAGGCCUUCGGGUUGUAAACUGCUUUUGUACGGAACGAAAAGACUCUGGUUAAUACCUGGGGUCCAUGACGGUACCGUAAGAAUAAGCACCGGCUAACUACGUGCCAGCAGCCGCGGUAAUACGUAGGGUGCAAGCGUUAAUCGGAAUUACUGGGCGUAAAGCGUGCGCAGGCGGUUAUAUAAGACAGAUGUGAAAUCCCCGGGCUCAACCUGGGAACUGCAUUUGUGACUGUAUAGCUAGAGUACGGCAGAGGGGGAUGGAAUUCCGCGUGUAGCAGUGAAAUGCGUAGAUAUGCGGAGGAACACCGAUGGCGAAGGCAAUCCCCUGGGCCUGUACUGACGCUCAUGCACGAAAGCGUGGGGAGCAAACAGGAUUAGAUACCCCUGGUAGUCCACGCCCUAAACGAUGUCAACUGGUUGUUUGGGUCUUCACUGACUCAGUAACGAAGCUAACGCGUGAAGUUGACCGCCUGGGGGAGUACGGGCGCAAGGUUUGAAACUCAAGGAAUUGACGG
rnacentral:rRNA from 1 species